UAGCCUUAACACUUUACUACGUAUAUAAAUAACGCCAAAAUAUGGAUCAUUCAUCCUUUCACUUAUACCGACGAAAACUGCCGCUACUAAUUAAAUCCUAAAUUGUAAUUAUCCGUUACAUGCAUGGCUUCUUCACUAGCCAAACCCAACGAGAAAGGCAAGAACAAGUUCAAGAUUCAUGAAGACAUUGAAGCCUCAGAUUUUGUGUCCACUCAUAUUUGCAUCAAACGUAUUCCCUCCACGCAAGCACUUGAUCGGGAAGUGAUUCUACGACGCAUACGCCAACGCCGAUGCGUAAAUAAGGUCAGAUCGGUAUUUCAAAUACUGUGUGGUUUGCCACUUUUGGGCAAAAAACACGAUGGUAAUGACGACCACGAUCACGAUGGCACUUCCACAUUGCCUUGACUCUUGAAAUUGUUUCUGUGCUAUUAGAUGAUGCCGUUGUAGUUUGUAAGUUGUAACUUGCAUUAGUAGUUGUGAACUUGUGAAGUUGUACAUAUACUAGUAUACUACUCUCAUAGUUGUGAAAAAUCAAACCCUAUCAUAUCUAUUGUUGAGAAUUACUGUAAAUUUUGGAUUCCAGAUAAUUUGAAGCGUUCAUAUUUGUCCCA
rnacentral:lncRNA from 1 species